CUACCCUUUUGUCCUCUCUUCCUCUCCUACUUCCCCUCCAUCUUUUUCCUUCUUCCUCUCCUUUAUUUCUUGCUUCUCACCUUCUUCUCUUUGUUUAUUUCUUUCCUUCCUGUCCGUAAAACUAUAACAUGAAGGAAAUGUAAUCACUUCAAACUCCUGCAAAGUUGUUUUGGAUCCCAGAACUCCCCAGGGGGUCAAAGGUCGGGUUGGGGUAGUGCGUGAAGGCGGUGGAGUUCAGGAUCAGCAGAGAAGAGACCUGGACAGCAUGACAAUAUUGAUAUGAUAUUAAUAAAAACAAUAAGGUUCAUAUGUUACAUGUUGGUAAAGGACAGAGCUCCUGUCGGACUGAACACUACGAUCAACCCUUCAACCAGUUCAGUAGUCGGCCUUUGACUGGGACAGACUGGAACAAUCCAACCCAUCUAUACCUGAGGUACAGGGAUCUGUCUACCCUCUUCAUCUGCUGUGGUGUUCCACAGGGUCUCGUCCUCGGUCCUGUUGUGUUGGCCUCGUAUGAGCAGCUGGAUGAACAUCCCUGGAUCGUCUGGUCCAAAACGCUCCAGCAGAGCCUUAGAGCCUUCAUUCAGCUAAUUCAGAAUCCAGUUCCAGACUCAUGCCAUCACUUCUGGACUCCUGCUGAGUCCUGCACGUGGCCUGAACUCCCAGUCAAGUGAUUAU